rnacentral:rRNA from 1 species
AUUGAACGCUGGCGGCAGGCCUAACACAUGCAAGUCGAGCGGAUGAAGGGAGCUUGCUCCUGGAUUCAGCGGCGGACGGGUGAGUAAUGCCUAGGAAUCUGCCUGGUAGUGGGUGAUAACGUCCGGAAACGGGCGCUAAUACCGCAUACGUCCUGAGGGAGAAAGUGGGGGAUCUUCGGACCUCACGCUAUCAGAUGAGCCUAGGUCGGAUUAGCUAGUUGGUGGGGUAAAGGCCUACCAAGGCGACGAUCCGUAACUGGUCUGAGAGGAUGAUCAGGCACACUGGAACUGGGACACGGUCCAGACUCCUACGGGAGGCAGCAGUGGGGAAUAUUGGACAAUGGGCGAAAGCCUGAUCCAGCCAUGCCGAGUGUGUGAAGAAGGUCUUCGGAUUGUAAAGCACUUUAAGUUGGGAGGAAGGGCAGUAAGUUAAUACCUUGCUGUUUUGACGUUACCAAAAGAAUAAGCACCGGCUAACUUCGUG